rnacentral:rRNA from 1 species
GGGUUGUGAGGUUAAGCGACUAAGCGUACACGGUGGAUGCCCUGGCAGUCAGAGGCGAUGAAGGACGUGCUAAUCUGCGAUAAGCGUCGGUAAGGUGAUAUGAACCGUUAUAACCGGCGAUUUCCGAAUGGGGAAACCCAGUGUGAUUCGUCACACUAUCAUUAACUGAAUCCAUAGGUUAAUGAGGCGAACCGGGGGAACUGAAACAUCUAAGUACCCCGAGGAAAAGAAAUCAACCGAGAUUCCCCCAGUAGCGGCGAGCGAACGGGGAGCAGCCCAGAGCCUGAAUCAGUGUGUGUGUUAGUGGAAGCGUCUGGAAAGGCGUGCGAUACAGGGUGACAGCCCCGUACACAAAAAUGCACAUGCUGUGAGCUCGAAGAGUAGGGCGGGACACGUGGUAUCCUGUCUGAAUAUGGGGGGACCAUCCUCCAAGGCUAAAUACUCCUGACUGACCGAUAGUGAACCAGUACCGUGAGGGAAAGGCGAAAAGAACCCCGGCGAGGGGAGUGAAAAAGAACCUGAAACCGUGUACGUACAAGCAGUGGGAGCCUCUUUAUGGGGUGACUGCGUACCUUUUGUAUAAUGGGUCAGCGACUUAUAUUCUGUAGCAAGGUUAACCGAAUAGGGGAGCCGAAGGGAAACCGAGUCUUAACUGGGCGUUAAGUUGCAGGGUAUAGACCCGAAACCCGGUGAUCUAGCCAUGGGCAGGUUGAAGGUUGGGUAACACUAACUGGAGGACCGAACCGACUAAUGUUGAAAAAUUAGCGGAUGACUUGUGGCUGGGGGUGAAAGGCCAAUCAAACCGGGAGAUAGCUGGUUCUCCCCGAAAGCUAUUUAGGUAGCGCCUCGUGAAUUCAUCUCCGGGGGUAGAGCACUGUUUCGGCAAGGGGGUCAUCCCGACUUACCAACCCGAUGCAAACUGCGAAUACCGGAGAAUGUUAUCACGGGAGACACACGGCGGGUGCUAACGUCCGUCGUGAAGAGGGAAACAACCCAGACCGCCAGCUAAGGUCCCAAAGUCAUGGUUAAGUGGGAAACGAUGUGGGAAGGCCCAGACAGCCAGGAUGUUGGCUUAGAAGCAGCCAUCAUUUAAAGAAAGCGUAAUAGCUCACUGGUCGAGUCGGCCUGCGCGGAAGAUGUAACGGGGCUAAACCAUGCACCGAAGCUGCGGCAGCGACACUAUGUGUUGUUGGGUAGGGGAGCGUUCUGUAAGCCGUUGAAGGUGUGCUGUGAGGCAUGCUGGAGGUAUCAGAAGUGCGAAUGCUGACAUAAGUAACGAUAAAGCGGGUGAAAAGCCCGCUCGCCGGAAGACCAAGGGUUCCUGUCCAACGUUAAUCGGGGCAGGGUGAGUCGACCCCUAAGGCGAGGCCGAAAGGCGUAGUCGAUGGGAAACAGGUUAAUAUUCCUGUACUUGGUGUUACUGCGAAGGGGGGACGGAGAAGGCUAUGUUGGCCGGGCGACGGUUGUCCCGGUUUAAGCGUGUAGGCUGGUUUUCCAGGCAAAUCCGGAAAAUCAAGGCUGAGGCGUGAUGACGAGGCACUACGGUGCUGAAGCGACAAAUGCCCUGCUUCCAGGAAAAGCCUCUAAGCAUCAGGUAACAUCAAAUCGUACCCCAAACCGACACAGGUGGUCAGGUAGAGAAUACCAAGGCGCUUGAGAGAACUCGGGUGAAGGAACUAGGCAAAAUGGUGCCGUAACUUCGGGAGAAGGCACGCUGAUAUGUAGGUGAAGCGACUUGCUCGUGGAGCUGAAAUCAGUCGAAGAUACCAGCUGGCUGCAACUGUUUAUUAAAAACACAGCACUGUGCAAACACGAAAGUGGACGUAUACGGUGUGACGCCUGCCCGGUGCCGGAAGGUUAAUUGAUGGGGUCAGCGCAAGCGAAGCUCUUGAUCGAAGCCCCGGUAAACGGCGGCCGUAACUAUAACGGUCCUAAGGUAGCGAAAUUCCUUGUCGGGUAAGUUCCGACCUGCACGAAUGGCGUAAUGAUGGCCAGGCUGUCUCCACCCGAGACUCAGUGAAAUUGAACUCGCUGUGAAGAUGCAGUGUACCCGCGGCAAGACGGAAAGACCCCGUGAACCUUUACUAUAGCUUGACACUGAACAUUGAGCCUUGAUGUGUAGGAUAGGUGGGAGGCUUUGAAGUGUGGACGCCAGUCUGCAUGGAGCCGACCUUGAAAUACCACCCUUUAAUGUUUGAUGUUCUAACGUAGACCCGUGAUCCGGGUUGCGGACAGUGUCUGGUGGGUAGUUUGACUGGGGCGGUCUCCUCCUAAAGAGUAACGGAGGAGCACGAAGGUUGGCUAAUCCUGGUCGGACAUCAGGAGGUUAGUGCAAUGGCAUAAGCCAGCUUGACUGCGAGCGUGACGGCGCGAGCAGGUGCGAAAGCAGGUCAUAGUGAUCCGGUGGUUCUGAAUGGAAGGGCCAUCGCUCAACGGAUAAAAGGUACUCCGGGGAUAACAGGCUGAUACCGCCCAAGAGUUCAUAUCGACGGCGGUGUUUGGCACCUCGAUGUCGGCUCAUCACAUCCUGGGGCUGAAGUAGGUCCCAAGGGUAUGGCUGUUCGCCAUUUAAAGUGGUACGCGAGCUGGGUUUAGAACGUCGUGAGACAGUUCGGUCCCUAUCUGCCGUGGGCGCUGGAGAAUUGAGGGGGGCUGCUCCUAGUACGAGAGGACCGGAGUGGACGCAUCACUGGUGUUCGGGUUGUCAUGCCAAUGGCA